rnacentral:rRNA from 1 species
UACGGAGGGUGCGAGCGUUGUCCGGAAUCACUGGGCGUAAAGGGUGCGUAGGCGGGUCUUUAAGUCGGGGGUGAAAUCCUGGAGCUCAACUCCAGAACUGCCUUCGAUACUGGAAGACUUGAGUCCGGGAGAGGUGAGUGGAACUGCGAGUGUAGAGGUGAAAUUCGUAGAUAUUCGCAAGAACACCAGUGGCGAAGGCGGCUCACUGGCCCGGUACUGACGCUGAGGUGCGAAAGCGUGGGGAGCAAACAGG